UAUCAUUGGUACACUAAUUUC
ensembl:piRNA 21ur-4406 ncRNA